rnacentral:rRNA from 1 species
AGUGAACGCUGGCGGUAGGCCUAACACAUGCAAGUCGAACGGCAGCACAGUAAGAGCUUGCUCUUACGGGUGGCGAGUGGCGGACGGGUGAGGAAUACAUCGGACUCUACUUUUUCGUGGGGGAUAACGUAGGGAAACUUACGCUAAUACCGCAUACGACCUACGGGUGAAAGCAGGGGAUCUUCGGACCUUGCGCGAUUGAAUGAGCCGAUGUCGGAUUAGCUAGUUGGCGGGGUAAAGGCCCACCAAGGCGACGAUCCGUAGCUGGUCUGAGAGGAUGGUCAGCCACACUGGAACUGAGACGCGGUCCAGACUCCUACGGGAGGCAGCAGUGGGGAAUAUUGGACAAUGGGCGCAAGCCUGAUCCAGCCAUACCGCGUGGGUGAAGAAGGCCUUCGGGUUGUAAAGCCCUUUUGUUGGGAAAGAAAAGCAGCAGGUUAAUACCCCGCUGUUCUGACGGUACCCAAAGAAUAAGCACCGGCUAACUUCGU